AGGCUGAGCUGUGAUGGGGAGAAGACAUUGUGUCUUCGAGUCGUUGAUUUCACACUGCCGAGAAAAGCCUCUAGAUAGAAAAUAGGUGCCCGUACCGCAAACCGACACAGGUAGUCAAGAUGAGAAUUCUAAGGUGAGCGAGCGAACUCUCGUUAAGGAACUCGGCAAAAUGACCCCGUAACUUCGGGAGAAGGGGUGCUCUUUAGGGUUAACGCCCAGAAGAGCCGCAGUGAAUAGGCCCAAGCGACUGUUUAUCAAAAACACAGGUCUCUGCUAAACCGUAAGGUGAUGUAUAGGGGCUGACGCCUGCCCGGUGCUGGAAGGUUAAGAGGAGUGGUUAGCUUCUGCGAAGCUACGAAUCGAAGCCCCAGUAAACGGCGGCCGUAACUAUAACGGUCCUAAGGUAGCGAAAUUCCUUGUCGGGUAAGUUCCGACCCGCACGAAAGGCGUAACGAUUUGGGCACUGUCUCAACGAGAGACUCGGUGAAAUCAUAGUACCUGUGAAGAUGCAGGUUACCCGCGACAGGACGGAAAGACCCCGUGGAGCUUUACUGUAGCCUGAUAUUGAAAUUCGGCACAGCUUGUACAGGAUAGGUAGGAGCCUUUGAAACGUGAGCGCUAGCUUACGUGGAGGCGCUGGUGGGAUACUACCCUAGCUGUGUUGGCUUUCUAACCCGCACCACUUAUCGUGGUGGGAGACAGUGUCAGGCGGGCAGUUUGACUGGGGCGGUCGCCUCCUAAAAGGUAACGGAGGCGCUCAAAGGUUCCCUCAGAAUGGUUGGAAAUCAUUCAUAGAGUGUAAAGGCAUAAGGGAGCUUGACUGCGAGACCUACAAGUCGAGCAGGGUCGAAAGACGGACUUAGUGAUCCGGUGGUUCCGCAUGGAAGGGCCAUCGCUCAACGGAUAAAAGCUACCCCGGGGAUAACAGGCUUAUCUCCCCCAAGAGUUCACAUCGACGGGGAGGUUUGGCACCUCGAUGUCGGCUCAUCGCAUCCUGGGGCUGUAGUCGGUCCCAAGGGUUGGGCUGUUCGCCCAUUAAAGCGGUACGCGAGCUGGGUUCAGAACGUCGUGAGACAGUUCGGUCCCUAUCCGUCGUGGGCGUAGGAAAUUUGAGAGGAGCUGUCCUUAGUACGAGAGGACCGGGAUGGACAUACCUCUGGUGUACCAGUUGUCGUGCCAACGGCAUAGCUGGGUAGCUAUGUGUGGACGGGAUAAGUGCUGAAAGCAUCUAAGCAUGAAGCCCCCCUCAAGAUGAGAUUUCCCAACUUCGGUUAUAAGAUCCCUCAAAGAUGAUGAGGUUAAUAGGUUCGAGGUGGAAGCAUGGUGACAUGUGGAGCUGACGAAUACUAAUCGAUCGAAAACUUAAUCA
rnacentral:rRNA from 1 species